ACCUACCAGAUCAUGCUGGAUCCAUCCCUGAAUUAAUACUAGCUCAAAAUCAUCCCACCUUCCAUCAUGUAAACAGCCCCUAAGACCUGUUCAUGGCGUAGGAAAAUGCAUUUUGAAUACCAAACACCUUGCACAAUGUUGAAGGUCAGCUAAAUAUUCUAUUUCUACUUUGUUGGCAUGGGUGAUUUUAUAUGAAUACCUUCAAUGCUAAUAACUUCUUGCUUUUGUAUGUAUAAUUAUAAUACUGUCAGUGGUGAAG